rnacentral:rRNA from 1 species
UAUUAAAGAAUUUCGGUUAUCGAUGGGGAUGCGUUCCAUUAGUUUGUUGGCGGGGUAACGGCCCACCAAGACUACGAUGGAUAGGGGUUCUGAGAGGAAGGUCCCCCACAUUGGAACUGAGACACGGUCCAAACUCCUACGGGAGGCAGCAGUGAGGAAUAUUGGUCAAUGGGCGAGAGCCUGAACCAGCCAAGUAGCGUGAAGGAUGAAGGCUCUAUGGGUCGUAAACUUCUUUUAUAUGGGAAUAAAGUUUUCCACGUGUGGAAUUUUGUAUGUACCAUAUGAAUAAGGAUCGGCUAACUCCGUGCCAGCAGCCGCGGUAAUACGGAGGAUCCGAGCGUUAUCCGGAUUUAUUGGGUUUAAAGGGAGCGUAGGUGGAUUGUUAAGUCAGUUGUGAAAGUUUGCGGCUCAACCGUAAAAUUGCAGUUGAAACUGGCAGUCUUGAGUACAGUAGAGGUGGGCGGAAUUCGUGGUGUAGCGGUGAAAUGCUUAGAUAUCACGAAGAACUCCGAUUGCGAAGGCAGCUCACUAGACUGUCACUGACACUGAUGCUCGAAAGUGUGGGUAUCAAACAGGAUUAGAUACCCUGGUAGUCCACACAGUAAACGAUGAAUACUCGCUGUUUGCGAUAUACAGUAAGCGGCCAAGCGAAAGCAUUAAGUAUUCCACCUGGGGAGUACGCCGGCAACGGUGAAACUCAAAGGAAUUGACGGGGGCCCGCACAAGCGGAGGAACAUGUGGUUUAAUUCGAUGAUACGCGAGGAACCUUACCCGGGCUUAAAUUGCAACAGAAUAUAUUGGAAACAGUAUAGCCGUAAGGCUGUUGUGAAGGUGCUGCAUGGUUGUCGUCAGCUCGUGCCGUGAGGUGUCGGCUUAAGUGCCAUAACGAGCGCAACCCUUAUCUUUAGUUACUAACAGGUCAUGCUGAGGACUCUAGAGAGACUGCCGUCGUAAGAUGUGAGGAAGGUGGGGAUGACGUCAAAUCAGCACGGCCCUUACGUCCGGGGCUACACACGUGUUACAAUGGGGGGUACAGAAGGCGGCUACCUGGUGACAGGAUGCUAAUCCCAAAAACCUCUCUCAGUUCGGAUCGAAGUCUGCAACCCGACUUCGUGAAGCUGGAUUCGCUAGUAAUCGCGCAUCAGCCAUGGCGCGGUGAAUACGUUCCCGGGCCUUGUACACACCGCCCGUCAAGCCAUGAAAGCCGGGGGUACCUGAAGUACGUAACCGCAAGGAGCGUCCUAGGGUAAAACUGGUAAUUGGGGCUAAGUCGUAACAAGGUAGCCGUACCGGAAGGUGCGGCUGGAACACCUCCUUU